rnacentral:rRNA from 1 species
GACGAACGCUGGCGGCGUGCUUAACACAUGCAAGUCGAACGAUGAACCGGUUUCGGCCGGGGAUUAGUGGCGAACGGGUGAGUAACACGUGGGCAAUCUGCCCUGCACUCUGGGAUAAGCCCGGGAAACUGGGUCUAAUACCGGAUACGACACUCCGAGGCAUCUUGGGGUGUGGAAAGUUCCGGCGGUGCAGGAUGAGCCCGCGGCCUAUCAGCUUGUUGGUGGGGUAAUGGCCUACUAAGGCGACGACGGGUAGCCGGCCUGAGAGGGUGACCGGCCACACGGGGACUGAGAAACGGCCCAGACGCCAACGGGAGGCAGCAGGGGGGAAUAUGGCACAAGGGGCGAAAGCCUGAGGCAGCGACGCCGGGUGAGGGAGGACGGCCUUCGGGUGGGAAACCUCUUUCAGCAGGGAAGAAGCGAAAGGGACGGAACCGGCAGAAGAAGCACCGGCAAACUACGG